rnacentral:sRNA from 1 species
ACUCAACAGGAAUUCUUUAAAAAGGGUGAGUUGAAACUGUAAAAGCAAGCCGUCUUAGAACGGAUCCUUGACCAGUUUGUUAGCCCUAAACUUGUUUUUAAGGAGUUU